CCAGACUCRUACGGGAGGCAGCAGUGGGGAAUAUUGGACAAUGGGGGAAACCCUGAUCCAGCAAUGCCGCGUGUGUGAAGAAGGCCUGCGGGUUGUAAAGCACUUUCAGUAGGGAAGAUUAUGACGGUACCUACAAAAGAAGCACCGGCUAACUCCGUGCCAGCAGCCGCGGUAAUACGGAGGGUGCGAGCGUUAAUCGGAAUUACUGGGCGUAAAGCGUACGUAGGUGGUUUGGUAAGUCGGAUGUGAAAUCCCCGGGCUCAACCUGGGAAUUGCAUUCGAAACUGCCUCACUAGAGUCUAGCAGAGGGAUGGGGAAUUCCGGGUGUAGCGGUGAAAUGCGUAGAGAUCCGGAGGAACAUCAGUGGCGAAGGCGCCAUCCUGGGCUAAGACUGACGCUGAGGUACGAAAGCGUGGGGAGCAAACAGGAUUGAUACCCUGGUAGUCCACGCCGUAAACGAUGUCAACUAGCCGUUGGGAGGGUUAAACCUCAAAGUGGCGCAGCUAACGCGAUAAGUUGAC
rnacentral:rRNA from 1 species